CGCGGGGUGGAGCAGUCUGGUAGCUCGUCGGGCUCAUAACCCGAAGGUC
rnacentral:tRNA from 3 species